rnacentral:rRNA from 1 species
UACGUAGGGCGCAAGCGUUGAUCGGAAUCACUGGGCGUAAAGGGUGCGUAGGCGGUGCUAUAAGACGGGUGUGAAAUCCCGGAGCUCAACCUGGAAACUGCAUUUGAGACUGUGGUGCUGGAGGACGGGAGAGGAGGAUGGAAUUCAGGGUGUAGCAGUGAAAUGCGUAGAUAUGAGGAGGAACACCGAUGGCGAAGGCAAUUCCCUGGGCCUGUACUGACGCUGAUGCACGAAAGCGUGGGGAGCAAACAGG